rnacentral:rRNA from 1 species
CGAUACGUAAUGCGAAUUGCAGAACUUCGUGAAUCAUCAAAAUUUUGAACGCACAUUGCGCUACUGAGUAAUCUCAGUAGCAURCYYAUYUGAGUGUCUCUAA